rnacentral:SRP_RNA from 1 species
AGAUGGGCUAGGUUGGCUGAUGUAGGUGCGCAGCUGUUACCCUAAAUCAUCUUUAUGGGAACUGAAAACCUGUGGGCGGCAUACGUUCCGGUUAUUGGCCUCAUCGUUGACGUCGAAGCGUCGCCUCUGUUGGUAUUACGUUCAUGUGAACCCGGCCAGGGCAGGAAUGCAGCAACCGUAGCUUGUUCAUAAUGUGCUUCAGAGAUACGGCGUGGAGUUGGCUUUGAGGAAUACCAGUAGUUGGUUCAUAUGUCAACUUCAGGCUCGCCCACUU